GGGUCAGUAGGUUGGUCGUGCCACCGGUACGUACUGGUCUCAAUGAUUCCUCCUUCCUGAAGAACCGUAAUGCCAUUAAUUUGGUGUUGCGGGGAAACAGGACUGUUACUUUGAAAAAAUUAGAGUGUUUAAAGCAAGCUAACGCUUGAAUACAUUAGCAUGGAAUAAUGAAAUAGGACGAUCGAUCCUAUUUUGUUGGCUUCUAGGAUUGACGUA
rnacentral:rRNA from 1 species